GGAGAAAGAGCGAGAAGAUGGAGGAGAUGGAGACAGAUGAGUUGUGAGAUUCAGGACUUUGUGGGGAAACAUGACUCAUGACACAUAACAAAAACACAACUUCAUUAUUGUCUCCCUCAGGUUUAUUUCAGACAUUCAGUGAGCAUAAUUAUCUCUUGCUGGUGAAUCAGAACUUGGGUAGGUUCCAUUAACUUUUUUGCUCUUAUUAACAUAUCCUACCAACUCUUAAGAAACAAACCAAGUCUCAGUAAAUAAAUCAGAGUUGCCAAGUCUAAGAUGUUAAUACACAAUGAGCUUGAUUCAAUAUCAGAUGUUUCCCCCUUUUCCAACUCAGGCUUUCUUCUAGUUGACAGACAUGAUGGAAGAGACAUUGUUGGCUUCUCUCUUCCUAUGCUUUGUGCUUUCCUCCUCUUUAACACUGUUCUCAUUCCAGUUUUUGAGCUUGUUCUUGACCCUAUUAAGGUUUGGGAAGGCAGGUGGAAGAGGACAGAAAAGAUCAUAAACUGGCUCUUCUGGGCUGAGUACUUUUCAAAUGUGAUUCUCUCUCUGCUGGGCAUUUUUGUGGGUUCCUCUGAGCUUCUCAUUCAUGGAGACCUCUCACAUUUAGAUUUGUUGACCCUCUCAGAGCUAUCUCUACAGUGCAUGUUCACUUUGACUCCCUUCAAGUGUCUUUUAGCUUCUUGUUCCUGGAAUUUCUUUUCUUGUCCAGGUGUCCCUACCUUGGUGGGCCCACUCUGAUGCCAUGGUAGCUCUGUCUACCAAGGGACUUGACUCUUAUCCACCAGAAACAUUCAUACAUCCCUUAUCCCACAAAAGUUUGAGAGAAGAGCUCCACGUCAGCAGGGCCACCCUGCCACAGGUCAUUCUGUCUGAGGAUUGAGUCAAGUUUCAGUCUUCUGUGCCUAUCAAUUGCAAGGGAAAAUCUAGUUGUGAAGAAGGUGCCAUGGGAAGUCCAUUUACUCUGCUGGAGAGACAUGAGGCAGACACUUCUCUAUCCUGAAUAGGUGGGAGAAAGCUCAAAGCAUAACUUUCUCUGAAGAAGUCUCCUUCCAAAUAUUUUCCCACUUUCAUUCUCUCUCUCCCUUUAUCCUUUUUAUAUUUUCAAGGUGAGUGAGGUGGAUCUAUAACUUGGGAAACUACUGUAACUUCUCGAUGGGGAGAAACUCUGCAUAUGGUGAGCUGUCUCACCCUGUUUGGCAUCUGAUACAGAUCAUACUGAUGGCUCAGUAGAAAUCAAGUCAGGAGUAGUCCUCCUCUAACUAUGUUAGUAAUGACCUGCUUUGCAGUUCAAAUAAGCGUGACAAGGAAAUAAUCAAAUUAAGUAAUUUUAAUGGUUUUAUUAAUUAUAAUCUCAGAGUCUAAUAUGAUUCUCGAUACAAAAAAGUACCUAGCAAAUGUUUGUUUGCAGAAGACAAGAAGAGGAAAGGCAGACAAGUCACCUAUUAUAAUCUGAUAAAUGUACCCAUAUGCCAAUGCCCUGCUUUUCCCCCUUUAGCUUCUGCCAGCUUUGCCCUUGAUCUUGCUCUUAGUCCCAAUGGUCAUGUUUACUCUGUUUAUAACUGCUGUCUUUCCUUUGACUAACUGAAGCUCUGAAUUUGGCCAUCUAUCUCUGCAAGUUCACAUUUGCUAUAAAACCUGGUUUUGGGGCUCCUAAACCCAGCAUGCAGCCCACCAUGGGGCUUGAACUCAUGACUCCGAGAUCAAGACCUGAGCUAUGAUCAAGGGUCAGACACUUAACCACCUGAGCCAUCCAAAAAUGUAGUAGUCUCAUUUUUAACCAAUAUGAGAAGAAGAAAAUGAUGUGAAAAAACUGCCAGAAACCUGAUAAGACUGUCUAAGAAUUUGGUCUUUAGAAACAAGAUUUCUUGCCUCUCUGUUCAUUCUCUGUUUGUGGUGUCCAUAGCUCAAUGAAAAACAAGAUUUCAACCUUUUGUUUCUUCUCCCAGAAAUGUUUUUUACCUUGAAUUCCAUACCACUAGAAGACUGUGUAAGUCAUAUAUUUUCUACCUAGUCUGUGAUUUUAAAACGGUAAGACUGCUGCAUAGUGAGGCCCCUCCCAUGUUGGGGACUGCAGGCACAAUGGUGAAGGGUAAUGGCCUCUGCAAACAUGCACAAGACAUGCAUGGGGUGCGAAGGGGAGCUCACAGAGGUAGAUAUUCUUUAAAUUCCUAAAAGACAGUAAGGUAGUUAGUGAACGACACACCCUGUUUCAGCUAUGAGUAAAAAUAAAAAGGCCUGUGUUAGACACUGAGGUUCUAUAGGAGCUAGGUUUGGCUGUUGGUGAUGCUGAGAUAGUUUAGCAUUUGAUCUUUGGAUAAAAAUUGGCUAAGUAGAAGAUUAUGUCAUCAAAAUGAAUGGAAUGCUUUGUGACAUUGGAGGACACGUAAAAUAUGCAAACUCAUUCUCACAAAAGGAAAUAAAGCACAUUCCAUCUCUCUGAGGUUACAUGAACCCCAAAAAGAAAUAAAAAGAUUUGAAUCUAAAAUUAUUUUCUUUAAAUUUAAGUCUUUUGUAGGGCA